rnacentral:rRNA from 1 species
GAGUUNGAUCAUGGCUCAGAACGAACGCUGGCGGCAUGCCUAACACAUGCAAGUCGAACGAGACCUUCGGGUCUAGUGGCGCACGGGUGCGUAACGCGUGGAAUUCUGCCCUUGGGUUCGGAAUAACAGUUAGAAAUGACUGCUAAUACCGAAUAAUGACGUAAGUCCAAAGAUUUAUCGCCCAAGGAUGAGCCCGCGUAGGAUUAGCUAGUUGGUGAGGUAAAGGCUCACCAAGGCGACGAUCCUUAGCUGGUCUGAGAGGAUGAUCAGCCACACUGGGACUGAGACACGGCCCAGACUCCUACGGGAGGCAGCAGUGGGGAAUAUUGGACAAUGGGCGAAAGCCUGAUCCAGCAAUGCCGCGUGAGUGAUGAAGGCCUUAGGGUUGUAAAGCACUUUCAGUGGGGAGAAAGGUUGUUCACUUAAUACGUGAGCAAAUUGAUGUUACCCACAGAAGAAGCACCGGCUAACUCCGUGCCAGCAGCCGCGGUAA